GUGUAUUCAGGAAUUGUCAGAAACCUUCAUGUACAAAUCGGCAAUGCCUUAGUUCCAAUGGACUUUCAUGUUAUGGAUUUAGAUAGACUAUAAUUCUUCUCUGCUACUUAGAAGAGGUUAUUGCGACAUGCAGACAAAUAAGUUGUGUCUGACACUCAUAGAUAAGAAUGCUUUCAAUGACCCUGUUCGAGUGAUCAAGGAGCACGCGUCCUACAUUGAGUUGGGUGAUGACCCAAAAUUUGCGGCAGCAAUUUAUUCUGAUUCUGGUCGUGAGAACGAAGAUGACCAUGAAGUGUCGAUCGACACUCAACCAGAAUCGGUCGACACUCUUGCAUUUCAGGAAUUUCAAGAAGCUUUCACAGUUGAAGCCGCCACCACUCCUAGAAGAAAUAUAUGUGUAAUAGCACCAGAUGAGUAUGGUGUUUACAGAGAUGAAGAAGGCAACACACAUGCUAUGGAAUCAAGGUGUCAAAAGAAGACAUAUAAGAAAUACUUGAGAUGGCAGAUAGCGUGGGAGGUUGAUAUCUUAGCUUACCACAAUAUGAAAGAUACUUUCAGAUGCCCAAAGUCCAUCUUGACCCUCCUUAUCCAACGAAACCUGUGACAUCUAGGAAAUAUCAAGUUGAAGAGGUGAUUACUGAAGUUUAUACAGCUCAGGAGAGGAUGUUUGAUGAUUUCUGUAGAUGUCUGGAUGCAACGUAUUAUCCUCUCAACAACAGUAUUAGAUGGUUAAGAAAAUGUAUGGAAGAAUUGGAGCUGAAGGUGGAUUACACUCAUUCCAUUAUCCAGAGACAUGAAGAACACAAAACCAGAGGAGAAGAAGCCAUAAAAAGAUUUGUU
rnacentral:lncRNA from 1 species